rnacentral:rRNA from 1 species
GCGAGAACGUCGACUUCGGUUGACUAGUAAAGCGGCGAACGGGUGAGUAACACGUGGGCAACCUGUCUUGGAGUGGGGGAUAACCUGGGGAAACUCGGGCUAAUACCGCAUACGUUCUCAGCAUUGCGGUGCUGAGAAGAAAGCUGGCCAAUUCUUGAAAGCUGGCGCUCCUUGAGGGGCCCGCGUCCGAUUAGCUUGUUGGUGGGGUAACGGCCCACCAAGGCUGCGAUCGGUAGCCGGCCUGAGAGGGUGAUCGGCCACACUGGGACUGAGACACGGCCCAGACUCCUACGGGAGGCAGCAGUGGGGAAUAUUGGACAAUGGGCGCAAGCCUGAUCCAGCAACGCCGCGUGGAGGACGAAGGCCUUCGGGUCGUAAACUCCUGUCAGUUGGGACGAAAAGCCAUCGGUCAAUACCCGGUGGCCAUGACGGUACCAGCAGAGGAAGCCCCGGCUAACUCCGUGCCAGCAGCCGCGGUAAUACGGAGGGGGCUAGCGUUAUUCGGAAUUAUUGGGCGUAAAGGGCACGUAGGCGGCUGGGUAGGUCAAAGGUGAAAUCCCUCGGCUCAACUGAGGAAUUGCCUUUGAAACCACUUGGCUCGAGGCUGGGA